UACAGAGGGUGCAAGCGUUAAUCGGAAUUACUGGGCGUAAAGCGUGCGUAGACGGUUAUGUAAGUCAGAUGUGAAAGCCCCGGGCUCAACCUGGGAAUUGCAUUUGAGACUGCAUAGCUAGGGUGCGGAAGAGGGAAGCGGAAUUUCCGGUGUAGCGGUGAAAUGCGUAGAUAUCAGGAGGAACACCGAUGGCGAAGGCAGGUCUCUGGGCCACUACUGACGCUGAGAAGCGAAAGCAUGGGGAGCGAACAGG
rnacentral:rRNA from 1 species